AAGCCCCGGGGAAUCUCAUAUCUCUACUCCAAAUUUGCAACUUGGCGUGUUGGCAACACCUCAGGGCU
rnacentral:tRNA from 1 species